UUUGUCCUCUGUUUUCCUUUAUAUUGAGGUUGUUCUCUCAAGCCAGGAGACAUCCAGCUGGAGAGGAUUUCCUCUGAUAAGGAUCUUACUCUGCAGAAAAGAUGGUUCAGAAGGAUACAGACUGUACGUUCCACAGAGCAGAGAGGAAGUAGUGUAGUGGCGAUAAAUACGCACUCACCUGUGACAGACUACGGUUCACUUCCCCAGCAGGAAUUGAAAACUUCUGGAAUAUAAACAAGAGGAAGAUUGAUGAUGACAAACCAUCAAACCAAGCUGAACUGCUUUGCACUAGGAGUGGCAUUAAGUUUUUCAAAAGCAGUGUGUAAGACUGGUGGAGGAAAACAUGCCAAGAUGCAUGAAAACUGUGGUUAAAAACCAAACCAGGGUUAUUUCACCAAAUAUUGAUUUCUGAACUUUUAAAAUUUUAUGAAUAUGAAUGUUUUCUUUGCAUUAUUUGAGGUCUAAAAGCUCUGGAUCUUUUUUAUUUCAGCCUUUUCUAUUUUUUUUUUUUGCAAAUAAAUGCUUUCAAUUACAAUAUAUUUUUGGAAUUUGGGAGAAAUGUUGUCUGUAGUUUAUAGAAUAAAACAAUAUUGUUAAUUUUACUCAAGCAUGUACCUAUAAAUAGCAGAAACUGCAGUGGUCUCUUAUUUUUUUCAGAGUUGUAUAUAUUUUAAAACACUGUACAUUUGUAACAUUUUAGCAGACCAACAACCAUCAAUACACAACUCUAAAAAAAUGUAGAA